GCAGCAGCCGCGGGAAUACGUAGGGUGCGAGCGUUAAUCGGAAUUACUGGGCGUAAAGCGUGCGCAGGCGGUUCGUUAAGACAGAUGUGAAAUCCCCGGGCUUAACCUGGGAACUGCAUUUGUGACUGGCGAGCUAGAGUAUGGCAGAGGGGGGUAGAAUUCCACGUGUAGCAGUGAAAUGCGUAGAGAUGUGGAGGAAUACCGAUGGCGAAGGCAGCCCCCUGGGCCAAUACUGACGCUCAUGCACGAAAGCGUGGGGAGCAAACAGGAUUAGAUACCCGCGUAGUCCCUGUCUCUUAUAC
rnacentral:rRNA from 1 species